GAGUUUGAUCGUGGCUCAGAGCGAACGCUGGCGGCAGGCCUAACACAUGCAAGUCGAGCGCCCCGCAAGGGGAGCGGCAGACGGGAGAGUAACACGUGGGAACGUACCCUUCAGUUCGGAACAACCCAGGGAAACUUGGGCUAAUACCGGAUACGUCCGUAAGGAGAAAGAUUUAUCGCUGAAGGAUCGGCCCGCGUCUGAUUAGCUAGUUGGUGGGGUAAUGGCCCACCAAGGCGACGAUCAGUAGCUGGUCUGAGAGGAUGAUCAGCCUCACUGGGACUGAGACACGGCCCAGACUCCUACGGGAGGCAGCAGUGGGGAAUAUUGGACAAUGGGCGCAAGCCUGAUCCAGCCAUGCCGCGUGGAUGAUGAAGGCCUUAGGGUUGUAAAGUCCUUUCGGCGGGGAAGAUAAUGACGGUACCCGCAGAAGAAGCCCCGGCUAACUUCGUGCCAGCAGCCGCCGCCGUAAU
rnacentral:rRNA from 1 species